UGACAGGGAGACAGGUUGGUGCAUGGGUUGUCGUCAGCUCGUGUCGUGAGAUGUUGGGUUAAGUCCCGCAACGAGCGCAACCCCUGUCCUAUGUUGCCAGCAUUCAGUUGGGGACUCAUAGGAGACUGCCGGCGUCAAGCCGGAGGAAGGUGGGAUGACGUCAAGUCAUCAUGCCCCUUAUGUCCUGGGCUGCACACGUGCUACAAUGGUCGGUACAAUGGGCUGCGAUGCCGCGAGGCGGAGCGAAUCCCAUAAAACCGGCCCCAGUUCGGAUCGAAGGCUGCAACUCGCCUUCGUGAAGUCGGAGUUGCUAGUAAUCGCGGAUCAGCAUGCCGCGGUCGAAUACGUUCCCGGGCCUU
rnacentral:rRNA from 1 species